GGAUGUGUGCCCGAGUAAGAGGGGUUACAUUGAUAGUGUAAAAACAGAGCUAAAACUCUCACCUCC
rnacentral:tRNA from 1 species